UUAGAUGUUCUGGGCCGCACGCGCGCUACACUGACAGAGCCAACGAGUUCUUUUCCUUGGCCGGAAGGUCUGGGUAAUCUUGUGAAACUCUGUCGUGCUGGGGAUAGAGCAUUGCAAUUUUUGCUCUUCAACGAGGAAUUCCUAGUAAGCGUGAGUCAUCAGCUCGCGUUGAUUACGUCCCUGCCCUUUGUACACACCGCCCGUCGCUAC
rnacentral:rRNA from 1 species